UUGGGUUAAGUCCCGCAACGAGCGCAACCCUGCCUUAGUUGCCAGCAGUCGGCUGGGCACUCUAAAGGGACUGCCGGUGUUAAACCGGAGGAAGGUGGGGAUGACGUCAAGUCCUCAUGGCCUUUAUGACCAGGGCUACACACGUACUACAAUGGCCGAUACAAAGGGCAGCGACACUGCGAGGUGAAGCCAAUCCCGUAAAAUCGGUCUCAGUCCGGAUUGGAGUCUGCAACUCGACUCCAUGAAGUUGGAAUCGCUAGUAAUCGUGGAUCAGCAUGCCACGGUGAAUACGUUCCCGGGCCUU
rnacentral:rRNA from 1 species